UACGGGGGGGGCAAGCGUUGUUCGGAAUUACUGGGCGUAAAGGGCUCGUAGGCGGCCAACUAAGUCAGACGUGAAAUCCCUCGGCUUAACCGGGGAACUGCAUCUGAUACUGGAUGGCUUGAGUUCGGGAGAGGGAUGCGGAAUUCCAGGUGUAGCGGUGAAAUGCGUAGAUAUCUGGAGGAACACCGGUGGCGAAGGCGGCCAACUGGACAGAUACUGACGCUGAGACUCGAAAGCGUGGGGAGCAAACAGGG
rnacentral:rRNA from 1 species